CUUUAUUUCUCAUGGUAGCUCUGUUUGGAAUGGAGAUAAGCUGUACAAAAAAGAUGGUUUGCAUCUUUCUCAAAAGGGAACAAAUGUUCUCAGUGAGCAGUUCAGAGGUUUUGCUAGGAUGUAUUUAAACUAGGAGGGGGGGGGCAAAAGGGUGAUAAAACAUCAAUCCAAUUGUCCCCCAAAACAAGGACAGAAGGUGCCUGUAGCAAGUGUGUUAAAAAAUGAUAAGCUUAGAGUCAUGUCUACAAAUGCUCGCAGUUUAGGGAAUAAGAUCCAUGAACUUGUGGCAAUAAUGGCAACUGAUAGUGUAGAUUUAGUCGCUAUUACUGAGACAUGGUACAAUGAGAAAAAUGACUGGGAUAUAGCAAUACCAGGGUACUCUUUAUAUAGGAAAGAUAGGGAAGGCAAGAAAGGGGGAGGGGUGGCCUUGUA
rnacentral:lncRNA from 1 species